rnacentral:rRNA from 1 species
CCGGCGACCGGCGCACGGGUGAGUAACACGUAUGCAACCUGGCCGCCACAGGGGGAUAACCCGCGGAAACGCGGCCUAAUACCCCGUGACGCCACCGGAGGGCAUCCUCCGGUGGCCAAAGGAGCGAUCCGGUGGUGGAUGGGCAUGCGGCGCAUUAGCUAGACGGCGGGGUGACGGCCCACCGUGGCGACGAUGCGUAGGGGUUCUGAGAGGAAGGCCCCCCACACUGGGACUGAGACACGGCCCAGACUCCUACGGAAGGCAGCAG